UGAACUUAAGCAUAUCAAUAAGCGCAGGAAGCU
rnacentral:rRNA from 1 species